AGUGACCAGCUCCUCCUCCUCCUGCUGCUGCUGCUGCUGCUGCUGCUACAGACAGGAAGGGGGGAAGCACCCUCAGCCAGUGGCGACAGCAGCAGCAGCAGCAGCAGCAGGAGGAGGAGGAGCUGCCACU